CAGUAGCCGCGGGAAUACGGAGGGGGCUAGCGUUGUUCGGAAUUACUGGGCGUAAAGCGCACGUAGGCGGCUUGGUAAGUUAGAGGUGAAAGCCUGGAGCUCAACUCCAGAAUUGCCUUUAAGACUGCCGAGCUAGCAGGUGAGAGAGGUAAGUGGAAUUCCGAGUGUAGAGGUGAAAUUCGUAGAUCUCGAGAGGAACACCAAUGGCGAAGGCAGCUUCUUGGUCCAUUCCUGACGUUCAUACACGAAAGCGUGGGGAGCAAACAGGAUUAGAUACCCCCGUAGUCCCUGUCUCUUAUAA
rnacentral:rRNA from 1 species